ACGUGUUAAGAGAUAAGCUUACCGGCUGUGGGUCCGGCACCGAGUCCUCCCUCCCGGGCGACGACGACAGUUGCCAGAGCGUAUCGAUCCGGAUUGUCAACCUGGGUCGCCUGCGAUAGCCAUGAAUGGGAACAACAUAGGCAUUACGAGAACAUGGACUCACCUUUAUCACCAGCGUCGUGGGUGCGACGACCUCGUGGUCCCUCAGGCUCCUGGUGAGCACCACAUCCCCCGUCCCCGGGUUCAGUGAGAGGAACGAAACGGCUCCCCCUUGAAGCGUGUAGCGAACCGGAGAAUUAAUCCCUGUGUCCUGGUCCACGGCUCGUAUCGCCGCUGGUUCCACCCUCAACGUCGUCCCCUGCAUUGCACGAGGAGCGAUCUUGUAUUGGUCGUUCAGGAAGGCUGGAUUUUGAUCAUCAGCAUCGAUCACGUUCACCCGAAGGGCCGUAUCCGUCAUCUGCGGGGGGUUGCCUUGGUCCUGCAGGAAAAAACGUCAUAAGGAAGUAGCUUAGCGUAUACUAAUUCUGAGAGAGAAAAACGUCAUCUCGUACAAACCUGGGCUCGAAUUCCAACGGAAAAGUUACUCAGUGUCUCGUAGUCCAGCGGCUUACGCAAUACCAGAGUGCCUUCCAGAGCGUUUACAAACACGAAGUAAUCCUAUGCGGAUGGACAGUAUUAUACGGAAGGUCAUGCACGUGCUCGGGAUACCUGCAGACGGAGUCUCUCACCGUCCACGAACACAGCUGGCUGUACAUAACACAAUAGAAGUAACGAAACUUGUCGUCCACGCAAUCUUUAUCAUCUACGCUACCCAGCUAACACAGAAAAACGAAGUUUGUCUGACAGAUAUCUUAUAAAAGUCAUAUGACGCGACUU